UUUGAUGCAGUGCAUUUGAGGAAAUUCAGUUUACUUCUUAAUUUAUGUAAUAUGAUGAAAAUAUCUGUGCAGUCUUAGAUGAGACUCAAUUUCUACUUGCUUCAUAACUAUCUUGGUAGUAUCAGAUGAGACUCAAAUUCAUGCUUCCUUGAGGAAUCAUGUUGAUGUGGCGAGACGCAUUUUUUUAUAAAUUUGGUCAGCCUGUUGUCAUCAAAAUAGUGUGGAGCUCCUGGAAAAGCCUUUUGGUGAACUAGAGUUUGGCUUUGGUUUUGGACUGUAAAACAGAAAUUGUUGGCUUGAUACUUGAAAGCUUUAAAUGACUCUACUUUAUAUUUUGGUACUGUUGAUGAUAUUUUGGUAAUGAAAUCAU
rnacentral:lncRNA from 1 species